UGUCCCACUACCUGCACACUCCUCCAAAACAUGUCUCUGUCCAUCAGGAACGUGGCCAAUGACACCAGGUCUGCAGAUAGACAGGAUAAAUUUGGUCAUGAUGGUCCUACAGGAAAUGUUUAUGUUCCACUUGAUUUCCACACCCACCGUCCAAGAGGAUUUGCUUGUGUUCAAUUUGAGGAUGUUUGUGAUGCUGAAGAUGCUUUGCAUAAUUUGGACAGGAAAUAGAUUUGUGGACAUCAAGUUGAAAUACAGUUUACACAGGGGGAUCAGAAGACACCAAAUCAGAUGAAAUCCAAGGAACAGAGGAAUGUGUACAGCUCUUCACGCCAUGAUGGUUAUGACAGAUACAGAAGUUCUAGAAGCCAAAGUUAUGAAAGGAGAUCCAGAAGUCAGUCUUUUGAUUACAAUUAUAGAAGAUCUUACAGUCCUAGAAAUCAACCAACUGGAAAACCACGGAGUAGCAGAAGCCAUUCCGACAAUGGUGGAUUCAAACACCAAAAUCCAUCUUUUUCAAGAUCUACAUCUCAUUCAAGGCAGCCCAAGGAAGAAGUGAAGGCUAAAUCACAUUCUAGGUCUGCAUCUCACACCAGAACUAGAGGCACCUCUAAAACAGAUUAGCAUAUUAAAUAAGUCUGGCUCAAGAUAUGAAAAGGAAUCAAAGAAAAAAAACUACUUAUAUCCAAAUGUCAGUCAAGAUCAAAGUCUAGUUCUAGAUCAAAAUCUACAUCAAGGUAUUGGACUGCUCCUAAAUCCAAUGGCCA
rnacentral:lncRNA from 1 species